rnacentral:rRNA from 1 species
UACGAAGGGGGCUAGCGUUGUUCGGAAUUACUGGGCGUAAAGCGCGCGCAGGCGGUUCGAUAAGUUAGGGGUGAAAUCCCUGGGCUCAACCCAGGAAUGGCCUUUAAGACUGUUGAGCUAGAGGACGAGAGAGGUGAGUGGAAUUCCCAGUGUAGAGGUGAAAUUCGUAGAUAUUGGGAAGAACACCGGUGGCGAAGGCGGCUCACUGGCUCGUUUCUGACGCUGAGGCGCGAAAGCGUGGGGAGCAAACAGG